UCUGCGGGGAUUAGUGGCGAACGGGUGAGUAACACGUGAGCAAUCUGCCCCGGACUCUGGGAUAAGCGCUGGAAACGGCGUCUAAUACUGGAUAUGACCCUUGCAGGCAUCUGCUGGGGGUGGAAAGAAUUUCGGUUCGGGAUGAGCUCGCGGCCUAUCAGCUUGUUGGUGAGGUAAUGGCUCACCAAGGCGACGACGGGUAGCCGGCCUGAGAGGGUGACCGGCCACACUGGGACUGAGACACGGCCCAGACUCCUACGGGAGGCAGCAGUGGGGAAUAUUGCACAAUGGGCGCAAGCCUGAUGCAGCAACGCCGCGUGGGGGAUGAAGGCCUUCGGGUUGUAAACCUCUUUUAGCAGGGAAGAAGCCUUUGGGUGACGGUACCUGCAGAAAAAGCACCGGCUAACUACGUGCCAGCAGCCGCGGUAAUACGUAGGGUGCGAGCGUUGUCCGGAAUUAUUGGGCGUAAAGAGCUCGUAGGCGGUCUGUCGCGUCUGCUGUGAAAACCCGAGGCUCAACCUCGGGCCUGCAGUGGGUACGGGCAGACUAGAGUGCGGUAGGGGAGAAUGGAACUCCUGGUGUAGCGGUGGAAUGCGCAGAUAUCAGGAAGAACACCGAUGGCGAAGGCAGUUCUCUGGGCCGUAACUGACGCUGAGGAGCGAAAGCGUGGGGAGCGAACAGGAUUAGAUACCCUGGUAGUCCACGCCGUAAACGUUGGGCGCUAGAUGUGGGGACCAUUCCACGGUUUCCGUGUCGCAGCUAACGCAUUAAGCGCCCCGCCUGGGGAGUACGGCCGCAAGGCUAAAACUCAAAGGAAUUGACGGGGGCCCGCACAAGCGGCGGAGCAUGCGGAUUAAUUCGAUGCAACGCGAAGAACCUUACCAAGGCUUGACAUAUACCGGUAACGGCUAGAAAUGGUCGCCCCGCAAGGUCGGUAUACAGGUGGUGCAUGGUUGUCGUCAGCUCGUGUCGUGAGAUGUUGGGUUAAGUCCCGCAACGAGCGCAACCCUCGUUCUAUGUUGCCAGCACGUGAUGGUGGGAACUCAUAGGAGACUGCCGGGGUCAACUCGGAGGAAGGUGGGGAUGACGUCAAAUCAUCAUGCCCCUUAUGUCUUGGGCUUCACGCAUGCUACAAUGGCCGGUACAAAGGGCUGCGAUACCGUAAGGUGGAGCGAAUCCCAAAAAGCCGGUCUCAGUUCGGA
rnacentral:rRNA from 1 species